CUGCACUGACUUUGAACCUGUUUUGCCAUUACAAUGGGUUUACAGGCCAAGCAACAGUGCUAUAUCAAAGGGUUAUUAUAACUGGGGCUUCUUGGGGGUCUGGCCAAGUUGCCCUUUUAAAAGCAAUCCACAUUA
ensembl:snoRNA small nucleolar RNA SNORA50